rnacentral:tRNA from 1 species
GCUCAUCUAGCUCAGUCGGUAGAGUGCAAGGCUUUUAACCUUAAAGUUGUGGGUUCAAGCCCCAUUAUGGGUG